rnacentral:misc_RNA from 1 species
GAUGAAGAACGCAGCGAAACGCGAUAGUUAAUGUGAAUUGCAGAAUUCAGUGAAUCAUCGAGUCUUUGAACGCACAUUGCGCCUUUUGGUAUUCCGAGAGGCACGCCUGUCUGAGCGUCAGUAAAACCCUUCGGUUUGACGAUUUAUUGUCUCGCCGGCGUUGGCGGUUUUUGGGUCCUUGUGGCUCGAUUCCGUUUAAACACUGACACGCGGAGAUUAAGGUGUUAAAGGAUUAACCCCUCAUCGAUUAGUAGAAAUAUUUAUCUUUGAAGAUUAUGACUUUAAAACCCCACCCGCUAUACAAAACAGGGAGCUCUUUUUUGAGCACCCGACCUUGAAUUUUGACCUCAGAUCAGACGAGGAUACCCGCUGAACUUAAGCAUAUCAAUAAGCGGAGGA